UGCAGUUAACAGGCUGCUGCUUUGUCUCUUGGCUGAUGCCGUUGGGCCGAGGGCAAUGAUUGAGAAGCAGUUUGACCAAUGGCGUGCGUGAAGGCGGGACUUAACAAGAAAGGUCAAAACAGUGCAGAAACGCACACCAAAAAAUGGCUACCAUAGAAAGCAAAAGGGGAAAUUUCCUGCGACAUUGUGAGUGCACCCUUGGGCUUGUCAGUGGGUGAGGUCACAUCACUAAACUGUCUGAAGAAGUAAGGUGUCGUGGACCAUCAUAAAAUUUGCAUCAACAUGGAGAUUGAAUUGGAGACCAUUGUUCUGUUCGAAGUGUAGUUUGUGGAAGAUGCAAUGAUGAAAUUAAUUUGAAUUGUCAAUGUUGUAUUUUAAGCAUAUAAGCAAUGUUUAGAUGAUGGUACUGUAGCACUGUUUAAAGUUUGUAAUAUUAUUGUUAUUUACAACUGUAACAGAAGAAAAUAAAGAGGGACAAAUACAAAUGA